CGACCCGGCCAUAGCCGCCGGGCAACACCCGGACUCAUUUCGAACCCGGAAGUUAAGCCGGUGGCGUUGGGCAGAGCUGUGGAGUCCGAAAGGCUCCGCAGCUCUCCCAAGCUGGGAUCG
rnacentral:rRNA from 1 species